GGCGGGUUAGCGUAAUGGCCUAACGCGUCAGUUUCCGAGAGGUGGUAGCUGGAGAUUCCGGGUUCGAGUCCCGGGCCUGUCG